rnacentral:rRNA from 1 species
UACAGGGGGUGCAAACGUUGCUCGGAAUCAUUGGGCGUAAAGCGCACGUAGGCGGUCUGUUAUGUCGGAUGUGAAAGCCCUCGGCUCAACUGAGGAAGUGCAUCCGGAACUGGCAGGCUAGAGUACUAAAGAGGGUCGCGGAAUUCCCGGUGUAGAGGUGAAAUUCGUAGAUAUCGGGAGGAACACCGGUGGCGAAGGCGGCGACCUGGGUAGAUACUGACGCUGAGGUGCGAAAGCGUGGGGAGCAAACAGG